UUCCCUAGUACGGCGAGUGAAGCGGGAAGAGCUCAAAUUUGAAAUCUGGUAGCCUUCGGUUGCCCGAGUUGUAAUCUAGAGAAGUGUUUUCCGCGUUGGCCCAUGUACAAGUCCCUUGGAACAGGGCGUCAUAGAGGGUGAGAAUCCCGUCCUUGACAUGGACCCCCAAUGCUUUGUGAUACACUUUCAACGAGUCGAGUUGUUUGGGAAUGCAGCUCAAAAUGGGUGGUGAAUUCCAUCUAAAGCUAAAUAUUGGCGAGAGACCGAUAGCGAACAAGUACCGUGAGGGAAAGAUGAAAAGCACUUUGGAAAGAGAGUUAAACAGUACGUGAAAUUGUUGAAAGGGAAACGAUUGAAGUCAGUCAUGCUCUUUGGAUUAAGCCGUUCUGCGGUGUAUUUCAUUGAGCGGGGUCAACAUCAGUUUUGAUCGCUGGAAAAGGGCAGGAGGAAGGUAGCACUCUCGGGUGAACUUAUAGCCUCUUGUCGUAUACAGUGAUUGGGACUGAGGAACGCAGCAUGCCUUUUGGCCGGGAUUCGUCCACGUACAUGCUUAGGAUGUUGACAUAAUGGCUUUAAACGACCCGUCUUGAAACACGGACCCC
rnacentral:rRNA from 1 species